rnacentral:rRNA from 1 species
UGUAGUCUCGCACAGAUGCAUAUCAAUAAGCGGAGGAAAAGAAACUAACAAGGAUUCCCUCAGUAACGGCGAGUGAAGCGGGAAGAGCUCAAAUUUGAAAUCUUGAAAGGUCACCUUUCACGAAUUGUAGUUUAAAGAAGUGUUUUCUGUUACGAUCGUAAUAUAAGUUCUUUGGAAUAGGACAUCACAGAGGGUGAGAAUCCCGUCUAUGAUUGCGAUUUGUAGCUUUGUGAUACACUUUCAAAGAGUCGGGUUGUUUGGGAAUGCAGCCCAAAACGGGAGGUAAAUUUCUUCUAAGGCUAAAUAUUGGCGAGAGACCGAUAGCGAACAAGUACCGUGAGGGAAAGAUGAAAAGAACUUUGAAAAGAGAGUUAAAUAGUACGUGAAAUUGUCAAAAGGGAAGCGUUUAACACCAGUGUUGUUUUCUGAAAAUCAACCUCUGUUAGCUUUAUGCAUGCUUGUUUAGACCUAAUCAGCUAUCUUGCAGUGUUCUAUUGUUUGCAGUGGUGCACUUUUCAGUUUACAGGUCAACAUCAGUUUUUUUUACCGUAAAAAAGUUAAAGAAAGGUAGCUCAUGGCUCCGGUCGUGAGUGUUAUAGUCUUUUUCCUAUGCGGUAGGAGAGACUGAGGUCUGCAGUGUAGGCUAUUUGGCUAGAUACUCAGGUGCUAUGUGAUACCAUUUCAUAAACAACUUGUUGAUUAUGUUUUGUCUAUUGCAUACUCGCUUGUACUAUCAUACCUACGCUUAGGAUGUUGAGUCGUAGAGCACGCAG